UACGGAGGGGGCGAGCGUUAUUCGGAAUUAUUGGGCGUGAAGGGCGCGUAGGCGGCUCGAUAAGUCAAAGGUGAAAUCCCUCGGCUCAACUGAGGAACUGCCUUUGAAACUGUCGAGCUUGAGUCCGGGAGGGGGUAGCGGAAUUCCCAGUGUAGCGGUGAAAUGCGUAGAUAUUGGGAGGAACACCAGUGGCGAAGGCGGCUACCUGGACCGGAACUGACGCUGAGGCGCGAAAGCGUGGGUAGCAAACAGG
rnacentral:rRNA from 1 species